rnacentral:lncRNA from 1 species
GGCCAACUUCAACACGAACUCUGAAUAACGACCAAGAGUGAUAUGGUGGGAUUUUAAUUGGAUUUUAAUGGGUUUCCAACGAAGAAGUAACAGGCAAAUCUCAGGGAUGUUUUCCAAUUGAUCUUCAACGAUAGUUCUAACGCUGUAUCACUGGAAAAUCUAGCCAAACCACCCCCAUUUAUCUCUUUCAUCUCAGUUUUCUCUCUCUUAUCUCACUGUAUUUCUCUCAAGUGUUUGUGCAUUGGGCAUUGAAAGUAUGACUCAGUGUAUUGUGGAGAAGAAUCUACUUCUCUGGUGUGAGUGUAUUCUCAGUAAAUUUGUUAGUGAGGGUCAUAUGUGUGUAUAUCUGUUCUCU